UUGGUUGAAAUAUCUAAUAUAUCUGAUUCAUGAACCAAAACCGAACCAAAAUUUAAAGUUGGGUACACAUUUUUAGAGGUUGCAUCGAGUGAGCAACAAUGUAUCUAUUCGAGAACUUACUGCGCUGAUGCGAAAACGAAAACUCGUAUAUCGAGACGAUAAAGUGGCCGGUAAUCUAGAGGUUAGAUGAGGAAACGGCCCUAAAAGUUAUUAAGCUUGAUCUGACUUUUUAAAAGUUUUUUUUUUAUUUUAUACAUAUUGUUAACGCGCCUAAUUAAUUGAACAUUGUAAUUAACGCGCUCAAGUUUGAUUAAAGAAAUGUACUAAAAUUUGCAGCCCUGCGCCUGCAAAGUAAUGCAAAUUCUCGCCAACAGAGGCUCGCGUGUAAUACGCUGUAUCCAAUUGCAUUUAUUUCUGUAAAGUUCUUUUCCCUUUUGCUGGCGGCGAGAAAACAUUAAUUUGCAGGAGCAAGCACAAAUAUUUUAGCGUGCAUAACAAUUAAAUAAAGGACGCUCAAAAUAAGUGCUGGUCUUAUAUUUUUCACUCGCCUGUCAACAGUCUAAAAUAUUUGUGGACUUAUCUAAGUACCUACAUACUUAUAUAAACAACAUGGAAGAUUCGAGACCAAACCAAGUAUGCGAAGCACACCCUUGCGCUACGACCACACCUUGUGUAACAGCAUCACCAGUCGACCAGUUAGCCCAGUUAACAUUUACGACUACCGAUGCGCCGGCACAGAUUUGGGAAACGGCCCAAAAUGGGGAGGGUUCGACCGCGAAUGUAGGUGCUCCCGUGCACGUGGAUGUUUACUCAACUCCUACUCCAUCGGGCAGCGGAUUUGUUAGAGCACCCACUACAUCAGCAUCGGGCGCAACCUCUGCAGAUAUGGUCGCCGAACUAUCAGCAUCGCAUACGGUUUUAGACUCGGUAAUAUUGUCACCAAAAACGCGUAGUAAAUUUUCGCGGUUAGGAUAUGAAGCCGUCCCAUGUGCUCGCUCUGCCCCGUUAAUGGCAUGCACAGAGCACAACUUAUCAUCUGUAAGCUCGGCUAGCAACAUAACUUCGAUGAUGAAUAACCUCUAUUCUACAGCGUGGUACAAGUCAUCCAAUAAUUUUGCCGGGCAUCAGCCUGUGUCGAAUUCUACCUAUACUUACGUACCCACUAGCAACAUGUGUCACGCCGACAGGGGUUUUCACAUUUUCGAUCCUGUUAGAUUGCAUAACUCACAGUUAUCAUGCAGCCAACCAUAUGUUGGUCGCCUCUAUAUGGCAAUGCAAAAGAGAUUUUAAAUCCUCAAUGGCACCUCGCCCUCCAUAUACCACGCAGGGUAGUGGGUGGGUCCAAGGUCCACUUUCUGGUCAAAACACUUCUGUGCCCAGUAACGUAAGUACCACUUGGAAUUCAACUCUUUCUCCUUCGCAUAUAGCGGCAAGACAAGUCAUUACGAAAGACAUACCUCACUUUUCCGGAGACCCUGAAGAAUGGCCUCUUUUUUAGACGAACUUUUUGCAAUCCACGGAACGCUGCGGGUUUUCGGAUCAAGAAAAUUUAAUUCGACUGCAGAAGUGUCUGAAAGGUCCUGCACUCGAGGCAGUUCGUGGCAAAUUGAUGAUGCCGGCCACAGUAAAUUUAGCAAUAGAAACACUCCGUAUGCUUUUUGGGCGACCAGACAUCAUUCACGAAGCCCUUCAGCGCAAGGUUAGAGAGGUUCCGGCAGUUAGAAUCGAGCGUUUAGAAACGUUAAUUACGCUGGCUCUUGCUGUGCAAAAUUAUAGGGCAACUAUGCAAGCCCUGGUUCAUUGAUUGUUGGUUCAUAAUGUGGCUCAACCAAAGUGAGAGCCGUCACCACCCAAGAGCUCCUCGCCUCUACCACAUCGGUCACCAAUGCAAUCGCAAAAAUUCAUUAAGUGCGCAGCUUGUCACAGCUUAACAGAUUGCGACGAAUUUAAAGCUUUAGCCAGACAAUCGCGGUGGCAAUUCGUUAAAGAUAAGAAACUGUGCAUUCGAUGCUUCAAGAACCAUUUAGUUCGUCGAUGUAAGUCGAACAAAUUAUGUGGUAUUGAUGGUUGUCGCUUGGUUCAUAACCCACUGCUGCACAGACGAAGUGAGGAGCUACGCAAUACUGAAGAUACAACUGGGAAGCCUGAGUCCAACGCGGUAUGUUUGCACCAAAAACAGUGCGAGAAGGUGCUCUUCAGAUAUAUUCCGGUGACUUUGCAUGCCAAUGGUAGGGCUGUGGAUACGAUAGCUCUUAUCGACGAAGGGGCAUCAUGCACGCUCUUAGAUGAGUUCUUGGCACACAAGUUGAUGCUCACAGGUCCGACUGAAGAGCUUUGCUUGAGAUGGACCGGCAAUAUCACGCAGCAGGAGCCAAAUUCCAAAAUAGUCUCGCUGGAAAUAUCGGCCAGGGGAACCGAUUUGGUGAAAUAUAGUUUGCAUAAGGUCCGUACACUCGCCAAUUUGGAUCUCCCGCAACAAUCGCUCCAAAUGAAUGUCAUUGAGAAGCGGCAACACUUGAAGUCGCUGCCGAUCUUACCGUACUCAGAGUGCAAAGCAGGAAUACUUAUUGGUUUGGACCAUGCCAAGCUUAGCCUGCCUUUAGAAAUUCGUGAGAGCAAAGAUGACGGCCUGAUUGCUACGCGUUGCAAACUAGGGUGGUCGGUUUAUGGUCGAGAUGGCCGCGAACAAUUGACGGAGGCGCGCUUAAUGCACAUUUGCCCCUGUACGAAAUAUAGUGAUUUGGACACUCUGAUGCGCUCGUACUUUUCUUUCGAGGCGUUUGGAAUUAGCCCAUAUGUUAAGCCUUUAGUUUCAACAGAAGACGAGCGGGCUCUCAAAAUAAUGGAAAAAACGACCAGAUAUAUCGCGCAUGAGAAAAGGUGGGAAACGGGCCUCUUGUGGCGAUACGAGCAUGUCGAUUUACCCGACUCCUAUGCUAUGGCUCGCAAGCGACUCGAAUGUUUGGAGAAGAAAAUGAAUAAAAACGCGGCCUUAAAGGAUUACCUUUAGAACGAAUAAAAGACUACAUAAUUAAAGGCUAUGUAAAAAGGUUAAAACCAUGUGAGGUUUCAAAUGGAGGCAAGUCGUGGUUUGUACCGAUGUUCACCGUCAUGAACGCAAACAAAGGCAAGGUUCGGCUAGUUUGGGAUGCAGCCGCUAAAGUUGAGGGAACCUCUUUAAACGACGUUCUUUUAAAACCCGACCCGACCUUUUGAAAUCAUUGGUGGGUAUCCUCAUACGCUUUCGCGAAAAGCCGGUGGCAUUGUGUGGUGAUAUCCGAGAAAUGUUUCACCAAAUCAGAGUGGUGAAAGAGGACCAAAUAGCACAGCAAUUCCUUUGGCGAAACGGUGACACAACUCGAGAUCCAAAAGUAUAUUCGAUGGUUGUCAUGACCUUUGGGGCAUCCUGCUCACCAUUCCUCGCCAACUAUGUGAAGGACAAAAAUGCAAAACGAUGCAUACACAGAUUUCCCACUGCAGUCAAUGCCAUUACGUAAAACACAUUUGUGGACGAUUGGUUGCAAAGCGUUGAAUCUGAGGACGAAAUGCUUCAACUUGCAACCACCGUGCGGCAUAUUCACAACGAAGGGGGCUUCGAAAUGCGAAACUGGUUAUCGAAUUCGAAGCGAGUUCUACUUUCCCUGUCCGGUAAAACUGAGAUAGCCGAUAAGAGUUUUGAGGAGGCUAAUGACGCGAUUGAAAAGGUCCUUGGCAUGUGGUGGCGCCCAUGCACAGACGAGUUGUUAUUCGUUCAGAAAUUCGACGCUUCCUUCGAAGAAACAAGCCAUCCGACAAAGCGCCAAAUUUUGCGAGCCGUUAUGAAGAUAUUUGACCCACUGUGCUUAGUGGGAUUUUUUGUCAUCAAAGCUAGAAUGAUAUUGCAGGACAUUUGGCGGUCCGGCGUGCUUUCGGACGAACCAAUACAUGUUGCCGAACGUGCCGAGUGGUGGAAGUGGGUGCAAAAACUUCAGCUGCUGAGUAGUUUACGAGUGCCCCGAUGUUAUCGGUUUGCGAGCUGCAGUAACCGCGUUGAGCUUCACGUAUUUGUAGAUGCAAGCAUAGCGGCCUAUUCAGCUGUGGCAUUUCUGCGAUCAGAAUUUAAUGGCGAGUUUCACUGUAGCCUAGUGGCCUCCAAAACACGCGUAGCACCUCUAAAACCCAUAUCCGUACCGAGGCUGGAAUUAAUGGCGGCCAUCUUGGGGUUGCGCUUAGCCAUCUUCAUCAAGGGCGAACUAUCGAUUUCUGUUUGUCGGCGCAUAUUCUGGUCCGACUCCAAGGAUGUUCUGUAUUGGAUACGCUCCGAUACUAGAAAAUUUAACCAGUUCGUUGCUGUACGUAUCGGUGAAAUCCUUCAAGACUCGCAGGUGGAUGAAUGGCGAUGGGUCCCUACAAAGCUCAACGUUGCUGACGAUGGUACGAAGUGGGAUGACAACAUGCAGUUCAGCAGUGACAUGAGAUGGUUUUCUGGGCCGGAAUUUCCUCGUUCGCCCGAAAGUUGCUGGCCUGUUUCAGAGUUCAGCCAAUCUCACGAGGAGGGGACUGAGUUUGUUCACCACAUCUCCGAAGGAGCGGAGUAUACUAAUCGAUGCUCACCAGACCCGACACGUUUCAGUAAGUGGGAAAGGCUGCGAGGCGCUCAAAUGCGCGUAUUUAGCUUUCUACGCAAAAUUAUGAAGCUGGACGCAAGAAAUCUUACAAUGAAAACUUUCUUGGAUGACAAAACAUGCGAAAGCUCGGAGAAAUUAAUUUUCCGCGAAUAUCAGGAGGAAUCCUUCGCAAACGAGUUUCUUCAGUUAAGAUCAAGCGUUGCUAAGGUAAAUCGCAAAAGUUCAAUUUUUAAGCUCUCGCCUUAUAUAGAUGGCAACGGGUUGCUGCGCGUUAAAGGAGGAAUUGACGCAGUGGAAGGAGUGCCAAUGGACGUUAAGCGGCCGAUUAUACUACCUCGAAAUCACCGUGUUACAUUUCUUCUGGUAGAUUUUUACCAUCGAAAAUUGCGCCAUCAAUUCAGCGAAAUCUCAGUGAACGAACUAAGGCAGCGUUUCUGUAUUCCAGGGUUGAGAACGCUUGUAAGGUCAGUGGCCAAGAUGUGCCAGCAAUGCAAAAUUCGUCGAGCUGCGCCCAAUAUUCCUGAAAUGGGACCACUUCCUUUAGAGCGUGUGGCCUCAUUUACACGUCCAUUCGCUUACGUGGGCGUUGACUAUUUCGGGCCGUUUGAUAUUGUUGUGGGCAAACGACACGAAAAACGCUGGGGUGUCUUGUUCACCUGUAUGACCGUACGUGCCGUGCAUAUAGAGAUAUCACCGUCUCUCUCCACAGACUCAUUUCUGCUAGUCCUAAAGCAGUUCAUGAGCCGACGAGGUGUACCGUGGCGCAUUUUGUCGGAUAACGGAACAAACUUUCGUGGUGCCAGCCGCGUUUUAGCAGACGAAAUUGAAAAGAUCGCUGUCACUGAGGUCGAGCAAAAAUAUCCAAAUAUAGAGUGGGUAUUUAUACCGCCAGCUGCGCCGCACAUGGGUGGUGCAUGGGAGCGCAUGGUACGUUCCAUAAAAUCGGUUUUAAUGAAUAUAUUACCACGAAGGUGUGUACGCGAAGAGAUCCUACGCGCGGCGAUGGCAGAGGCUGAGUCCACUGUCAACAUACGUCCCCUCACCUAUAUUCCUAUUGAAACAUCGGCAAGCGAAGCGUUGACCCCAAACCAUUUCCUCCUUGGUUCGUCCAGUGGCGUUCGAGAACGUGUUGAUAGGGAUUGCACAUCGGCUGUGUUGAGCAGAAACUUUCGCAUUGCUGGACAAAUAGCCGACGAAUUCUGGAAAAGGUGGGUAAGAGAAUGCCUUCCGUGCUUGACCAGACGUUCUAAGUGGUUUGAGCCUCAGCCAAACAUUAGGACAGGGGACGUAGUCAUCAUCAUCGACGAAAAUACGCGGCGAAAUACCUGGACAAAAGGACGAGGUUUUGACGUAAUACGAGGUCGAGAUGGCCAGGUCCGAAGCGCUGUUGUGAGAACCGAAGGUGGCCUUAUGACGAGGCCAGUUACGAAGCUAGCCAAACUUGAUAUCGAUCUGGCAAACCACGUUGCGGUGCAAGAAGUUUGCGAGGAGGGGUGUUAACGCGCCUAAUUAAUUGAACAUUGUAAUUAACGCGCUCAAGUUUGAUUAAAGAAAUGUACUAAAAUUUGCAGCCCUGCGCCUGCAAAGUAAUGCAAAUUCUCGCCAACAGAGGCUCGCGUGUAAUACGCUGUAUCCAAUUGCAUUUAUUUCUGUAAAGUUCUUUUCCCUUUUGCUGGCGGCGAGAAAACAUUAAUUUGCAGGAGCAAGCACAAAUAUUUUAGCGUGCAUAACAAUUAAAUAAAGGACGCUCAAAAUAAGUGCUGGUCUUAUAUUUUUCACUCGCCUGUCAACACAUAUAUUAGGUGGCUGAUUCGGAUUCGGCGUUAAUACAGUAUAUACAUAACGGACUUUCUAUUUUUAAUUCAUCCCAAAUAGUAAAAAAUGUUUUAGGUAUGCAGGUAUCUAUAACCGUACGCAAGUGCUUAAAAAAUGUACCAGAAAUUGACGAAAAAUUUAAA